GAUGAACGCUGACAGAAUGCUUAACACAUGCAAGUCUUUGGCGAAGCUGUGCUUGCACAGCCUAGCCAAGGCGGACGGGUGAGUAACGCGUAAGGAACUUGCCCUGCAGUCAGGGAUAACAGACGGAAACGACUGAUAAGACCUGGUAAAGUCAGGCGGACUCAUGUCCAGCCUGAUGAAAAGAGAUGCUGCAGGAGAGCCUUGCGUCCUAUUAGCUUGUUGGUGGGGUAACGGCCCACCAAGGCGAUGAUAGGUAGCCGGCCUGAGAGGGUGGACGGCCACAAGGGGACUGAGAUACGGCCCUUACUCCUACGGGAGGCAGCAGUGGGGAAUAUUGGACAAUGGGGGCAACCCUGAUCCAGCAAUUCUGUGUGCACGAUGAAGGUUUUCGGAUUGUAAAGUGCUUUCAGCAGGGAAGAAAAAAAUGACGGUACCUGCAGAAGAAGCGACGGCUAAAUACGUGC
rnacentral:rRNA from 1 species